CCUGCAGCCGCUUGCGGGUGGCCUGGCUGCUCUCCCCGUCUCAGCCCAAACACCACCAGUCGCCGAGCUGCGCUUUCCGCCGGCCUCCCUGAGCGUCCCGCCGUCGCCGGGGGCCAGGCCUGGCGCAGGACCAAUGUGGCGCAGCCCUGCUGUUGCUGGGGGGCGCCGGAGGCCUCCGUCCCUUGCCCAGGCUUCUGGCUCUCCAGGCUGCCUCCCUUCCGCCCACGCUCCAGGGCUUCCCCGGCUCCCGAGCUCCGAGCUUCCACCACAUCGGCCGGCUCAGGACAGAACCCAGAGUUGAUCUCUGCAGCAUGCCAUCACUGCUGGGGAUGAGGAAACGGUGAUUUCAGGACUGUUUUUUCUGUCUCUUCAGUGCCUCUUUCAGUGAUCUCAGGUUAAAACCAGACUAUGGAGGAUUCAUCACCAGACCAGGAAGCAACAGCCUGGGCUCCAGAGUUGGCCAGCAGUCCAUGCACAGACGAGGAGAGGUCCCAUGAACCUUCAGCGUGGUCUGGGAACCGAGCUCUUUUUGUAACAAGUUGUUUGUCAUGAGGCCCAGUCCUGAAGGCCCUUCGUGACUGGGCUCAAGGAAUACAAAAAGUCAACUUGUUUUUGCCAUUGUCUGUUGUUUUUCAAUAACUACUUAAUAAUACAAUAAUAACAACUACAAUACUAAAUACAAUACAAUAAAAAUACAAUAAUAAAAAAAUACAAAAAUAUACAAUAAUAAAAACUACAAUAAUAACAACACUGGAUGAAUGCCUCAAGGGGCUCACACAACUCGUUCCAGG
rnacentral:lncRNA from 1 species